rnacentral:antisense_RNA from 1 species
CUGGAGUCUGCGAAGGCCGGGACCCGGUUCCCCGGCCCACCGUGGGGGGGGGUGUGCAAACCCGAGAGAACUGGGAAGUGCCGUCAGAAGCGAUAACUGACGACGUCUAAUGUCUAUCUGACCGCAGUCGCUGAAACCUCUACAACUUAGUUGACCGUAACUGCCAGAGCCCUGCCCUGAAUUCCUGUCCUUACUCCCUCUUUAAGAUUGCGUACCCACUGCAGAGUGCUGAAGACGGGGUAGCCACGAGUCAAGUCUUCACCACUUGCUGGUUCCCAGGAGUAAACUUGUCUGAACGGUGACCUAAUUGCUAUAUUCACCUAGGUUGCAAAUUCGUGAAGAAUCAGCAUCAUGUUUGGCAGCUGAGUAUUGGAGCCAGGAGCCUGCCAUGAGGUUUUGAGAACAGAGUGCUGUUUUAGAGCUGGCAGCAGCAUCUCAGCCCAAGAGAAGGUUAUAUUCCCAGAGGAUGUCAGUCCCAAGGACCAGUAGCUGCCAUCAGUUUGGAUUCUGAAAACUAACCGGCAUCAACACUGGGUGUAGAAACAUGCUUGCCUUAUGUAUCAGAGGACAUGCUCAGCAGAUCCAAGAGAUAUAUUUGGCAACUUUUUCUAGAAAAGGCACAUUGGGUAUCAUUCAUUACAUUCUUGAGUUUUUUUGGUUUUUUUUUUUUUUUUUUUUUGAGACAGUCUUGCUGUAUUGCCCAGGCUGGAGUGUGGUGGCACAAUCACAGCUCAUUGCAUCCUCAAUCACCCAGGCCUAAGCAAUCCUCCCACCUUGUAGCUGGGACUAUAGCUCACAGCACACCUGGCUAAAAUUUUUUUUUUGUUA